ACCUUUGUGGCCUCCUCUGGACUCACUCCAGCAGGUCCAUGUUGGGGAUCCCAGAGCUGGAUGCAGCACUCCAGGUGGGGUCUCAGGAGAGCAGAGUAGAGGGUAAGGAGUAUAUGUGAAGGGAAUUUUUCAUGCACUACAGCAGAGGCACAGGAAAAAAAAAUACUGUACAUUCAGGUAGUUAAAAAUCCUCAGGAUCUCAACAAGCAGUCACCCAAGUCAGAUUGUCCAGUGUGAGACCAGUCUGGCUGCCUCAGCCAUUAAAAGUGCUGUUCUGCCUUAAAGCUGCUCUGAACCCAAAAAAGGGCAACCCCUGCCAUCAUUCGCUUUGGAGGCUAUGGAGAGGGAUGUCAGGUAUGGAGAGGGAUGUCAGGUAUGGAGAGGGAUGUCAGGUGUGGAGAGGGAUGUCAGGUGUGGAGAGGGAUGUCAGGUGUGGAGAGGGAUGCUCUGGAGCUGUAGCAGGAAGUGGUGAGGGAGGUGUCCCAGUGAUGCUGUGCACACCGAGGCUGACUCUUUGAACUCUCCCUGCUGUGAAAGGCAAAGGGCAAACUUUUCCAGCAGGGCUGUGUUGCAAGACCUUGGAUUGCAGACACAUGUGCAGAGACUGGAUGUUUUAUACAAGGAAACACAAAUCUGUGUUUCUGCGUAACCAGAUGAACUACCUCAUUUAUUAAAUUUGCCUUCUGAUUCUUUAGAGCUGUCCUUUAGGUAUCUGCCUGUAUGUUUUUUGGCAAAACAAUUAAUAUCUGAGUGCCACCUCAACUAGGAUUUUGAAAAUAAUUUAUAAUCAUAGUACAGAGGAUCAAAAAGCCAUAUCAAGUCACUUUGUUAAGAAGGAUAAAUCUUUAUUGAAUGAAAUGACUCCACUAGUCUUGUUUUCUCUUUUGGUACUGAGAUGUAAUUAUCUUACAUGUAAACACUGCACCAAAUAAAUCUUUUUUUUUUUACAAAUA